rnacentral:lncRNA from 1 species
UUUGGGCUGGUCCGGUACAUUGGUCGGGUAGUUUUUGAAAGUUUUGAGGAGCCCAAGGAUCUAUCUAGAUUAUAUCUAACACCUAGAGGAGGGUGAAUAGGUGUAAUAGCCAAAAACCAUAAAUCUCAAUGCGAUAAAAAUAAAUGUGGAAAAUAAAAAUCACACCGAGAUUUACGUGGGAAAACUCCAACUUGGAGUAAAAAACCCACGGGACCAACACGCGAUAAUAAUCCACUAAGAAUAAAAGAUUACAAGGUGAUUUACCUAAUCCACGGACUCAAACCUCUCUUUUAUCUUCUCCGGAUCUCGCGCACACCAACGGGUUGUCCACGCCCCACGUCCGACUCCACGAACGCCACGUUCCAAAUCCACGAAACGCCACACUUCGAAUCCACGAAGCCUUGAUCACGCCGAAUCCACGACGCCACUCGAAUCCACUUACCCACGAUCCGAAUCCACGAACCGCCUUCGUUCACGCCGAAUCCGCGACGCCGUUCAUGAAGAGCAUCAUGAUUAUGAUGAUCCUUUGCUUAGAGUAUCAUAGAAAACCAGAGAAGAAAAACUCUAAGCGAAGUGUAGAUCAAAUCGACAUAUUGAUAUCAAAUUACAAUCUCUCGAUUUGACCUAAAAAAGGCUAUUUUGUAGAAAAUAGGUUUAGCACGAAAUCCUAGCCUCUAGGGUUUCUCAAACAUGAAUUCUCGUGAUGCUUGAUAUAUUAGAGAACCCCAAUAGCUUAUUUAUAGACUUUAGAAUCAAUAGGAGUCGGAUUAGAAAGUUUUUUCGAAAAUUAUAUUGUGUACCGGUACACUUUAAGCUGUUACCGGUUACACGAUGACAGAAGAGAAAACCUGCGUAAUGCUGUAACCGGUGACAAGUCGCUUGUUGUACCGGAACAGAAUGUGUACCGGUACACUUUGCAAAAAUCCAUUUUUUGCACGGUUUCGGGUUUUGCAAAGUACCAACGCACUUUCUAAUCCAAUAAACUUUGGUAUUAUGAUUCUAAUGUCUACAACUAAGUAUGAAUCACCAUAACAUGAAUUAAAACCUUACCUGGGCAUCGUGAUUCACAUAGUGAGUUAAUUCCGCUUUCUUCGAAAUCUUGGAUUCUUCGAUCUUCGACGAUACACACCGAUCCUUUAAGACUCCGACUCACUUCACGAAACUUGCCAACAUAUAAGACUUAACAAUCUCCCCCUUUGGCAAUUUCGUGACAAAACUCACAAACUCAAAAUUACAUAAUAAGAAUCGAAGUUCAAUUGUCAUCACCAAAACAUUGAACUCCUCGCAUGUAGUCCAAAUACAAUUUGAAACUCAAAAGUACAUCAAAAACUCCUAAAACAAACUCUAUGACUUAGACGCAACUAGAAGUCUUGAAGUCUUGAUUUCCUGCAAAACAGAUUAUCCAAAAUAAUGUAGAAACUGACAAACAUUCGACAUUCUCAUAUUGAAGUCAUUUUCUUCAUCAUUGUCCUCGAAAUUUCAUUCAUUCUUUUUCUCGAAAUUUNUCCUUCUUUUCCUCGGAAUUUCACUCCUUCUCCCCCUUUGUUCUUUAUUCCUUCUUCUCCUUUGUUCUUUAUUCCUUCUUCUCCUUUGCUAUGAUCAAUACCUGUUCAUCAUUGCUCUCCCCCUUUUUGUCAAAAAAUUGCCAAAGACAAAGCAUAUAAAUAGAAAAAGUAUACUAGAAAGCAUAAGAGUAGUCAUGUUAUAGUUACAGGUCUAAAAGAAAAUAAAUGCAAAAGCAAAGUAAAGCAACAAGCACAACUAAACUAAACAUCAUCCUAAAAAGCAAAGUAGAAAAACAGAGCUCGAGGACGAAGUCACUCAGUGUCCUCGUCAUCAUCAUCAUCAUCGUCUCCUGCUCCAGCUCCAGAUCCUCCAGCCUCAGGAGCACCACUGGAUGGUGGAAUGAGUGGAUGUCUCGACGUAGACCUCGUGUAAGUGGUGUAGGUAGGCUGAGUAGGAAAUACGUCGUCAUGCCUACAGCCUAGCUUCUCCAAAAUCCUCUUCAUUCCCACAUCCACUUUCUUAGUAAGAUCUGCCACUUUCUUCUUUAAAGAGCGCACCUCAUGGUGAAGUGAUUCCACAGUAAUCACUCCCCCUGAGCUCGAAGAUCCCUCGCGCUCUGCAUGACGUGGAGGUGCUGAACUAGAAGCUCCUAUGGAUGAUCCUUUAGUUUGCUGGAAUGUCUUUAAUGUGCUGACUGACUUGUCCCAAGUUACUGUAUCAAUCGGUCCAAGUCCAGUGUCGUACUUUUCACACGAGACAUCAACUCCGUAUUCUUGCAGAAUCCUCGUGAUCAACAACGGAACGGAAGUAGUUCACGUCGAACUGGAGACUGUAUAACAUGUGCCAUUCUUUGCCACAUCAGAAAGGGAAUAUUGAUGUUUAACCCGUCCAUUUACUCAGGAUGUCCAAGAAGAUAUAGAAGCACCAGACGAUCCCAACGAAUCCUUUUUGUUCCAAUUGUAGGUUGAACAUUGUAGCUCAUCACCAAGGAGAGUAAAUGAUACUCGGGUCGCAAGUCCUUGGAUUCCACGUAUGCAUGAUUUGUCCGCACACCAUCCUUGCAGAUCGCACGAACAACUGUCUCCCAGUGAGACGAAGACUGAUAAAUCCCAGUAGUAUCAUGAAGUCAUGUUGACUUUAAUCUGUCACGCUCCGGAGUCCUUUUUUGUUUGAAAACACAGCGGAAAUAGCUAGAAAUUUUUUUUUGAAAGACCUGACCCCAGGGUAUGCCAGAUCCUCCACAAAUACAGAGAGUUCACUGAUCACAUGGACAUAGUCUCCCCUAUAUUUGCACGGCGUCACACAAGUACAACAAGUAAACAGGAUACAACCACAACUAAAUGAAUAUAGAAAUAACUAUACAAUCAUUCAUUCACCAUUCGCAUCACAGUUAUACAUUCAAUAUUUAAACAUAAAUCUACAUCUAUAAGUUAAAAUGUUUCCAACCCAGAAACAGGUUUUGAAAUACUAAGAUACAAAAUCCACAGAAAAUCUUUUAAAAACUGUUCCCUACACGGAAACUUUUAUAUUUUAGAAACGCUACCACGAGGGGUAGAAAACCAUUCAACAUUUGAACUCCACAAAUCCUUUUUAUUUGAAUAUCUGAGUUUUCAGUUGGUGUCGUGUCAACAUGCAUGCCCAACAACUCUCCAAUCGUGUGAGGAGUGACUAGAACCCUCUCCCCACGUACAUAGGUCUCAAGAAGAUAAGUCCCGGUCUCUUCAUCCUUAGCACACACCUUUCCAUUCAUGUAGAACUCCCGAAUGAGUUCCACACAAAAAGGAGAUCGAGCCGGAACACGUCCAACUGGCUUCAAUGGGGACCCUCUGUAGUAAGCGACCAAAAUCUGGAACCUCUUGGAUUAGGUCAUGGAAGUUGACAUAUCGCUCAGCAAUGCAUGACCUGCUCGAAAACGUCCUCCGCCGCUCCUGUAGAACAUCCGCGGCUUGCUUUGACCGAGUCUCUCUUGCACGAGAACCACCUCCAUGCGAGGAUUCUCUAGCUAUGCCUUUGCCCUUGUCAGGACGAGCAAUAGGUUCUUCAGCCUCCUCCGGGGAGCUCGCCUGAUAAUCCGGAUCAGAACCCGGUGACUCGUCUGCAGUACGAGUCCUCUUAGAGGCCCCACGACGGCCUCUACCACCACCUCGGCCACGUCCAGCGGCCAUCAGCACCAAAAUCAGCAACACGAGCGAAAACGCCAUUUGUCCUAUACAAAAAUUAACCUUGCUUGAACAAAAUCUUGAAAAAAUUUGUAAAAACAGCGAAAAAAUUUCUAAUAAUAUUAGAAUGCAUACUAACGCUAUUUCUAACCAGAUCAUGCAAAAAUUUUCAUCAAAAAUGACAUUUUAUCAAAAAUCCCGAAAUUCCUUGUAUAUAGAGGUACAGAUAAAAAAUUAGCAAAAAUUACAGCAAUAUAACCUGAUCUAAGUGUACUAGAAGCAAGAUUAUAUGUCUAAAUACUGAUUCAUAGCAAAAAAUUGCAUCAAAAACGCAUCAAAAUGCAGAUCAUGUUUCAACUCGGAAUAUUUUCGAAAAAAAUAGCAUAAACGGGAUGAGAAUGAUUAAAUCCGCCCCAAAUACUUACAGAUUUUGAAGGAAAACGCAUAGAUCUGGAGGAGGAAGGCACUAGGGAAUUUUAGAAAGAGAAAGGAAGAGUUUUGGUUUGAAUUUGGGAAAGAAUCGAAACUUGUAACCGGUUAUAAUAUCCGCGGCUACAGUGUUUUGUACCGGUACACGGUAUUUUGUACCGGUACACUUUCACAGAUUUUGAAAAUUUUGAAUAUUUUCAUCAAAAAUCCCUCAAAAUCAAAUUAAUUUCAUAAAGAUUAAAGAUUAUAGUCCAAAAAUCAUUGUGAUGAAAAUUAAUUAUUAUAAGAUUUCAAAAUACACCGAGACAUCAAAAUUUGUAAUCGAAAAUAAUCUAAUGAUUCAAAACCAUCAAGAUGUAAGUUGAUGAAAAAUGAUUUUUAGAAAUUCAACAAAAUUGACACCAAUUUGUCGUAACUCGUUCAAAAUAGAGAUUUAACUAAUAUGGCACCGGGGGUGGCUCUUUGAGCAUCUUUUCAUCCUAUCACCUUAUAACUCCGAAAAAUUCUAAAAUAUUCAUUUUUUUUUCAACCUUUUCGGCUUUUCAAUUAAAUUCCAUGUGGUAGCUUCACACAUUUACCGGACGACCGGGAUGGUAGCUCUUUCCUACAUGUGGUGGUAGUUUUCACACUCUUUUUAGGAUGUAACUCUUUCCACAUCUUUUAAACAUAGGAGUAUCUUUUUUUUUUUUUUAUAAAUAAUUUCAAACUCCCCCUAAAUCAGACAUCUCACAAUUGAAAGUAAUUUUGACAAAAUUUUAGUCGAUUAGUGAAUAUCCAUCCAUCAUAUUCAACACACAUAACAAAGAUGAAUUAAUCACCAAAAGAUCAAAAUUGAUUUCAAAAUUUUGAUGAAUAUAUGUGUUAAGAAUUCAUAUAAUCAAUUAUCGUCAAAAUAAUGAAAAGUUGAGUAAAAUCGAUAAUUAAUAUGAAUUUAAUUCAAGAUGAAUGUGAAGUUAAAUACCGUUUGAAGCACUUUAAAAAAUUUAAUCUAUCCAAAAUAAUGAUUUUUAAUCAUCUCCUUUCUCAGAGAAAAAUUUUAAAUUUUCAAACACUUUUCCUCAAAUCAAUUUUAAAAAUAAAUUUUACACACGGAAAUCAUCAUGUAAUGCAAUGAAUAAAAAUAUGCAACAAGCACCAAUCAAAGCAUUAUAUAAACAAUAAAAACAAACUAAGACGAAGAGCAAGGAAAGAUAUCACCUUUCCGCAUCCAAACUUGUCGGAUUUUGCGUUGUCUUGUCUUGUCGACGUUAAGCACAAUUUGCUUUGAUUUUUGAUCAACCGUUGGUCGUUUCAUUGCUUGAGGCUUCGGUUGGAAUUAUUGAUGAAAUUUUGAAUUCCGGUUUGCUUGUGGGUAUGGUUGAAUUUGACGUUGCAGCUUAGAAGUCCGGUUUCCUCAAGGUACUCGACUCAAUUGAUUUUUCUUUUGAUUCCGUAGGGGAUGUCGGGUAGUAGAUGAUGCCGAAUGAGGUUUAGAGAAUACCGAUUGACGUUUCAAAUCCUUGUUCGGACAACUCUUUUUAAUGUGUCCUUUGAUGCCACAUUUAUGACACACCUUCUCUUUCAAAAUUGUUGAGACUUUAGAAUUUGACUUUUGAUCCUUCUCAACAUACGUUCUUUCAUAUCCGAGGCCCAACUUAUUCAUUUGACCCAAUCCGAGCAUAUGAUCCAAUUUCUUAGAUCCCGAAGAAAAUCUUUGAAUAUCGGAUUGGAGUUGAUGAACUUGAUUAGUCAAGGCCUUGUUGGAUUUGUGCGAUUCUUCAAAUUGAUGCUUCAAAAAUCCAAUCUUGUCUUUAGAUGAUUUGAUCGUUGAUUCCGCUUCAUCAAGCUUCUCUUGGAGGAUCAAAUUAUUCUUCGAAAUCGAUUCCUUUUCCUCCUCAAGAGCUUUAUUCAUUAUCUUCAAGUUGUUGUUUUCCUCUUCGAUAUCCAACAAACGACGCCUCAACAUAUCCAACAAACGACGCCUCAACUUCUUAUUGUGCUUGGUCAUCUUUUUUGAAUCAAUAAGAAGUUGGUUGUAUGCUUCCAAUAUAUCAUUGUCGUUCGAUUCCUUCUCGCUUUCACCGAUAUCGCUCGAAGUACCUUGCACGGAAGGAAAAACACUAGAAUUAGUAACAAUAGAGGAUAAGCACAUAACAUUAGACGAAGGCAAAGAAUUAUUAGCAAUUAAAGCAAUAUGUUCAUUCUUUUCUUCGUCACUUGAAGAUGAUUCACUCGAAGUAGAAUCAUCCCAAGUUUUUGCUUGCAAAGCCUUUUGUCUAUAAGUCUUCUUAGAAGGACAAUCUGUUGCAAUGUGACCGUAGCCUUUAUAUUUGUAGCAUUGAAUUUUCCCUUCAAAUUCAUCUUUUUCAUUCGAAGACUUUGCAAGUUUUUUAUCCUUAGAUUUUAAAGAUGAAGAUGAUUUAGAAAGGAUUGUUGCUUAGACGAUGAAGCCUUGUCCGAUUUAAUCUUCCGAAAAUUCCGUCGGAACUUCUUCGUUAGGAGCGCUGAUUGAUGUCCGAAAUUGGCGAGCGAGCGAAAUAUCUCCAUCAGAAUCCGAGUCGUCGUCUUUUUUCUUUGUUGAUUUGAGUGCAAUCCCUGUACUUUUAGAAAAAGACUUGGAAGAAGAUUGAUUAGUAGGAAAAGUAAGUUUGUAAAGCGCCUACUAAUUCCUCUACUUUCAUCUCGUCCGGAUGCUUAACGGUUUCGAUCGCAGCAACCUUUGCACGAAAGCGUUCCGGAAGAGUCCGAAGAAUUUUUCUAACCACUUUCGAAUCCAGAAUUUUCUCUCCCAAGUUUGCGCAUGUAUUAACAACGUCUUGUAGAUGCGUAUAGUACUCGGUAAAGGUCUCGUUUUCUUUCAUAAAAAUCGAAUCAAAUUUGCUUGUUAGUAUUUGUAAUUUUUGGACCUUUACUAAGCUAGUUCCUUCAUGCGUAACUUGUAGAGUAUCCCAAAUCUCCUUUGCGGUUUCACACACCGAAACACGAGUAAACUCCGUUUGCGAUAAAGCAUUGAAUAAAGCAUUAAUUCCUUUACCGUUAAACAAAGAUGACUCGUUUUCAUCUUUCGUCCACUUGUUCCGUGGUUUAGGAACGGUAGCAUUAUCGACGACUUCGGUAGGAUGCUUCCAACCGAAUUCUAUUGAUUUCCAUACACGCUCAUCGAUUGCAAUUAGAAAAGCUCUCAUGCGAACUUUCCAAUAGGCAUAAUUUGUGCCGUCAAAGAGCGGUGGUCGAUUAAUGUUACCGCCUUCAGCCAUUAGAUAUCAAUAUAUCUAUACCAAUUGAAAGUUUUCAGGAGCACAAGGAUCUAUCUAGAUUGUAUCUAACACCUAGAGGAGGGUGAAUAGGUGUAAUAGCCAAAAACCACAAAUCUCAAUGCGAAAAAAAUAAAUGCAGAAAAUAAAAAUCACACUGAGAUUUACGUGGGAAAACUCCAACUUAGAGUAAAAAACCCACGGGACCAACACGCGAUAACAAUCCACUAAGAAUAAAAGAUUACAAGGUGAUUUACCGAAUCCACGGACUCAAACCUCUCUUUUAUCUUCUCCGGAUCUCGCGCACACCAACGGGUUGUCCACGCCCCAUGUUCGACUCCACGAACGCCACGUUCCGAAUCCACAAAACGCCCACACUUCGAAUCCACGAAACCUUGAUCACGCCGAAUCCACGACGCCACUCGAAUCCACGAGCCCACGAUCCGAAUCCACGAACCGCCUUCGUUCACGCCGAAUCCACGACGCCGUUAAUGAAGAGCAUCAUGAUUAUGGUGAUUCUUUGCUUAGAGUAUCGUAGAAAAUCAAAGAAGAAAAACUCCAAGCGAAGCGUAGAUCAAAUCGUCAU